GUAUAAGCAAUUAUACAGCGAAACUGCGAAUGGCUCAUUAAAUCAGUUAUCGUUUAUUUGAUAGUACCUUACUACUUGGAUAACCGUGGUAAUUCUAGAGCUAAUACAUGCUAAAAACCCCGACUCACGAAGGGGUGUAUUUAUUAGAUUAAAAACCAAUGCCCUUCGGGGCUCUUUGGUGAUUCAUAAUAACUUUACGAAUCGCAUGGCCUUGCGCCGGCGAUGGUUCAUUCAAAUUUCUGCCCUAUCAACUUUCGAUGGCAGGGUCUUGGCCUGCCAUGGUUACAACGGGUAACGGAGGGUUAGGGCUCGACCCCGGAGAAGGAGCCUGAGAAACGGCUACUACAUCCAAGGAAGGCAGCAGGCGCGCAAAUUACCCAAUCCCGAUUCGGGGAGGUAGUGACAAUAAAUACUGAUACAGGGCUCUUUUGGGUCUUGUAAUUGGAAUGAGUACAAUUUAAAUCCCUUAACGAGGAACAAUUGGAGGGCAAGUCUGGUGCCAGCAGCCGCGGUAAUUCCAGCUCCAAUAGCGUAUAUUAAAGUUGUUGCAGUUAAAAAGCUCGUAGUUGAACCUUGGGCCUGGCUGGCCGGUCCGCCUCACCGCGUGCACUGGUUCGGCCGGGCCUUUCCCUCUGGGGAACCUCAUGGUCUUCACUGAUCGUGAUGGGGAACCAGGACUUUUACUGUGAAAAAAUUAGAGUGUUCAAAGCAGGCCUAUGCUCGAAUACAUUAGCAUGGAAUAAUAAAAUAGGACGUGUGGUUCUAUUUUGUUGGUUUCUAGGACCGCCGUAAUGAUUAAUAGGGACAGUCGGGGGCAUCAGUAUUCAAUUGUCAGAGGUGAAAUUCUUGGAUUUAUUGAAGACUAACUACUGCGAAAGCAUUUGCCAAGGAUGUUUUCAUUAAUCAGGAACGAAAGUUAGGGGAUCGAAGACGAUCAGAUACCGUCGUAGUCUUAACCAUAAACUAUGCCGACUAGGGAUCGGACGGUGUUACUUAUUGACCCGUUCGGCACCUUACGAGAAAUCAAAGUCUUUGGGUU
rnacentral:rRNA from 1 species